UACGUAGGGGGCUAGCGUUGUCCGGAUUUAUUGGGCGUAAAGAGCGUGUAGGCGGCCUGGUAGGUCUGCUGUGAAAACUCGAGGCUCAACCUCGAGAUGUCGGCGGAAACCAUCUGGCUAGAGUCCGGAAGAGGAGAGUGGAAUUCCUGGUGUAGCGGUGAAAUGCGCAGAUAUCGUUUGGAACGCCGAUGGUGAAAACAGGUUGCUGGGAGUGUGCUGACGCUGAGACACGAAAGCCAGGGGAGCAAACGGG
rnacentral:rRNA from 1 species